rnacentral:rRNA from 1 species
GAUGAACGCUGGCGGCGUGCCUAAUACAUGCAAGUCGAGCGAACGGACGAGAAGCUUGCUUUUCUGAUGUUAGCGGCGGACGGGUGAGUAACACGUGGAUAACCUACCUAUAAGACUGGGAUAACUUCGGGAAACCGGAGCUAAUACCGGAUAAUAUUUUGAACCGCAUGGUUCAAAAGUGAAAGACGGUCUUGCUGUCACUUAUAGAUGGAUCCGCGCUGCAUUAGCUAGUUGGUAAGGUAACGGCUUACCAAGGCAACGAUGCAUAGCCGACCUGAGAGGGUGAUCGGCCACACUGGAACUGAGACACGGUCCAGACUCCUACGGGAGGCAGCAUUAGGGAAUCUUCCGCAAUGGGCGAAAGCCUGACGGAGCAACGCCGCGUGAGUGAUGAAGGUCUUCGGAUCUUAAAACUCUGUUAUUAGGGAAGAACAUAUGUGUAAGUAACUGUGCACAUCUUGACGGUACCUAAUCAGAAAGCCACGGCUAACUACGUG